GACGAACGCUGGCGGCGUGCUUAACACAUGCAAGUCGAACGGAAAGGCCCUGCUUUUGUUGGUUGCUCGAGUGGCGAACGGGUGUGUAACACGUGAGUAACCUGCCCUUGACUGUGGGAUAACUUCAGGAAACUGGGGCUAAUACCGGAUAGGAGCUCCUGCUGCAUGGUGGGGGUUGGAAAGUUUCGGCGGUUGGGGAUGGACUCGCGGCUUAUCAGCUUGUUUGUGGGGUAGUGGCUUACCAAGGCUUUGACGGGUAGCCGGCCUGGGAGGGUGACCGGCCACAUUGGGACUGAGAUACGGCCCAGACUCGUACGGGAGGCAGCAGUGGGGAAUAUUGCACAAUGGGGGGAAGCCUGAUGCAGCAACGCCGCGUGCGGGAUGACGGCCUUCGGGUGGUAAACCGCUUUGGCCUGUGACGAAGCGUGAGUGACGGUAAUGGGUAAAGAAGCACCGGCUAACUACGUG
rnacentral:rRNA from 1 species